rnacentral:lncRNA from 1 species
GGUGCCCAUUCAGGUGGUUUUCUAAGUCAAAGUUUUCCCAAAGCGGUGACUGCAAUUCCGAAUGAUCCAAAAAUUUACCCGUUUUCCAAAAAGACACAAUAUCCUGAUCCUCAGUGGUUAUACCUAUAGGAAGCAGUUUUUGAGAGAGGCAGAGUUUUUGACCAGGUGGAACCCGUGCUGCCUUUAGUAUUCCUGCUGCUGCUGCUGCUGCUAGGUCGUUUCAGUCGUGUCCGACUCUGUGCGACCCCAGAGACAGCAGCCCACCAGGCUCCCCUGUCCCUGGGAUUCUCCAGGCAAGAACACUGGAGUGGGUUGCCAUUUCCUUCUCCAGUGCAUGAAAGUGAAAAGUGAAAAUGAAGUUGCUUAGUCGUAUCUGACUCUUAGCGACCCCAUGAACUGUAGCCUGCCAGGCUCCUCCACCCAUGGGAUUUUCCAGGCAAGAGUACUGGAGUGGGUUGCCAUUGCCUUCUUAACCGUCUUAAUUGUGAGGGGCCCUUUUUCCAACAGCUGUUACCAACCACAGGCAAUCAUGUUUUCUUCUCUUUUGAACAGAGUAAGAAGACUUACCAAGAAGUAUCACCAAACAAAAUACAGACUUCCUAUUUGGGUUGAAGAUGAAGGCAUUUAAAUGUUGAGGACCACAGAAUGUGGCUCAGCUAUGAAGUGAGAGCAGAAACGGCAGGCCGUGUGAUCCAGCAGCCCUGCUCCUGGGCCUGUAUCUGGAAACAGCUGUCAUUCAGAUGGACACAUGUACCCCUACGUUCACAGCAGCACUGUUCACAUGGCCAAGAUAUGGAGACAACCUAAAUGUCCACUGACAUAAAGAAGAUGUGGUGAAUAUAUGCAACGGAACAGCACCCAGCCAUCAAAAAAGAAUGAAAUGAUGCCAUCUGCAGUGACAUGUACGCAACGAGAUUAUCAUACCACGUAAAGUAAGUCAGAAAGGGACAAAUACCAUAUAGUAUCAUGUGUAUGUGGAAUACCACUUAUUUAUGACACAAACAGAAACAGACUCACUGACACAGAGGUCAGACUUGUGGUUGCCAAGGGUUGGGGAGGCAUGGAUGGACUGGGAGUUUGAGGUUAGUUGAUACAAACUGUGACACAUAGAAUGGGUGGACAACAAGGUCCUAUAUAGUUCAGGAAACUAUAUUCAAUAUCCUGGGAUGAACCAUAAUUGAGAAGAAUAUGAAAAAGAAUGUG